rnacentral:rRNA from 1 species
GACGAACGCUGGCGGCGUGCUUAACACAUGCAAGUCGAACGGAAAGGCCCUGCUUUUGUGGGGUGCUCGAGUGGCGAACGGGUGAGUAACACGUGAGUAACCUGCCCUUGACUUUGGGAUAACUUCAGGAAAUUGGGGCUAAUACCGGAUAGGAGCUCCUGCUGCAUGGUGGGGGUUGGAAAGUUUCGGCGGUUGGGGAUGGACUCGCGGCUUAUCAGCUUGUUGGUGAGGUAGUGGCUUACCAAGGCUUUGACGGGUAGCCGGCCUGAGAGGGUGACCGGCCACAUUGGGACUGAGAUACGGACCAGACUCCUACGGGAGGCAGCAGUGGGGAAUAUUGCACAAUGGGCGGAAGCCUGAGGCAGCAACGCCGCGUGCGGGAUGACGGCCUUCGGGUUGUAAACCGAUUUCGCCUGUAACGAAGCGUGAGUGACGGUAAUGGGUAAAGAAGCACCGGCUAACUACGUG